UAGCUGUGUUUUGGUUUGGGAACUUGCC
rnacentral:piRNA from 1 species